CCUCAUUUUAUACAUCCCUCCUUCUGUUUUGAAAUAAGCCAUAACCUGUAACAAGUUGGGAUCUUGGAUAGUGCUUCCAGGUGACCAGCUUCUUGAGCUCUUGUCCUGAUCUGUUUACACAGAGGUUAGAAGACAUCAGCUAUUUAGUGAACAUUAAUUCUGCUUUGUUUGCAUGGAGGUUAGCUUUCUCUGGGAAGAGGGGUUGAUUUAGAAACCACGCUGAGAAUUGUAGCUCUGUGAGUGGAACAGGGAUCUCCAAACAAUUCUCAUAACAAGCUACAGUUCCCAGGUUACUUUGGGGAGUACAUGACUGAAGUGGUAUAUGAAGAAGCCUGUGUGUUAAUUUGUUUUAUCUGUGGAGAUCAGUGCACGCUGAUCAACACACAAUAUUCGCAGAAAGGUUCUAUUCCAAUGGCAUGAGUUUCAUGAUGACUUAUGUUACCUGCUGCAGCCUUCAUGCGCCUUCACAGCCUUUGUAACAUAUCACUAGUUAUUUUCCACCUCUUCUGCCAUUGAGGAAUUUGGGGGUCCUUCUUUGUCUGGUUCUUCCCCCUUGACCUUACCGCCUUGGGGGACCUUGCUAGGAGUGCGAGAUUCCCGACGGCUUUGCUCACAGAGUUCAUAGGAAUAUGCAAGCCCACUCACCAUGACAAGCUGAUUAUCCAGCAACUGUUUAAAGUGGUAUAUGUUCAUGGAAGACAUUCUUAUCUGGCUGUGAGUGAUCUCCAAGAGGGAGAAAUAAUAAUAAUAAUAAUUUAUUAUUUAUACCCCUCCCAUCUGGCUAGGCUUCCCCAGCUACUAUGGGCAGCUUCCAAAAAAAUAUUAAAAUGCUGUAAUACAUCAAACAUUAAAAAAUGGUAUAUAUUGCUUUAAAUGUAUGAGGGUCAAUGUAGCCAAAGUUGCAUCAAAGCAAGUGUUAGAACACACUUUCCAGUGCAUUUUCACUUUCCUUUGCUCAAAAAGUCUGAUCUUUUCAGGAAGCAGGUUUGUUGUGCAAGGCCUCCCUCAGCUAUAACUGGGCGAUCUAAAUUUGCGGGUAUGUGAUUGAAUCCCACCCCAAAAGUGGCCUGAGAAAGAGGCAGAAAAAUGAAAGCCUCUUUCACAGGGGAAUAUAAGUGUCAUGCAAUUGGAGGGCUGGUAUAAGCACAGCACUACUCUAAACAAGGGAUUGGGUAAAUAUGUUGAUUUCAGUUUCUCAUUUUUCCAGUCUUAUGGUCAGUUCUCCAAUCCUAAGAUCAUUUCCACAACAGUUUAUGGAUUUUUUAAAAAGAUCCUCAUGAAAAUUCACCACCAUUUUACUGCAAUUUUCUUCUCAUAUACACAGUUUUGUAUGCAGUUUUGCUUAAUAUACAUUCCCCCCCCGUGAAUAUUCCAUAAUAUGCUUUUUAUGUUUUUUCAGUUAUAUUUGAAAUUUUAUGCACACUUUACCCUCAUAUACAGUGGUACCUCAGGUUAAGUACUUAAUUCGUUCCGGAGGUCCGUUCUUAACCUGAAACUGUUCUUAACCUGAAGCACCACUUUAGCUAAUGGGGCCUCCCUUUGCUGUUGCGCCACCGGAGCAUGAUUUCUGUUCUCAUCCUGAAGCAAAGUUCUUAACCCGAGGUACUAUUUCUGGGUUAGAGGAAUCUGUAACCAGAAGCGUAUGUAACCUGAAGCGUAAUGUAACGUGAGGUACCACUAUAUCUCUUUCUGUACACAUUACAUUUCAGUAUUCAAUUUGAAUUCCUAAGCAUUGGCUUGGAAAGUACAAAUUAGGUAGUUUCACCUUUAAAGGCAAAAUGAACCAAAAUUCUCCCCAGUUGUUACAAAAAAAAAGGUUUUUAUUUUAGCAGACUUUCCCCAGCUUUCUUAAGCAAUAUGGAGUUAAAUAAUCUGAAUCACAUUUUCCCCUACCUCCUAAAAACAAUGAUGUACUCAGGAAGUGAAAACAGGAGGAAGAAAUUCUGAGUUUGACUGAUAACUUUACAUGCAGGAUGGCAUUUGCAAUCGGAUUUUGCCAGUUGGCAAGGCUAUGCUUUCCUGGGACUUUUUUGUACUGAACAGCCUGCUGUUGCUCUUCUAAAGCUGAAUGUAACUGAAGUGGAAGGAAACCAUGUGGUCCUUGAAGUUUUGUGCUGAAAAGGCUAAUAUUCAUGUCAGUGGCUAUCGGGUGGGGGUGGGGGAGAAUGCCUCUCUUAUAACAGUUAGCAGAGAUUUAGAUUUUAAAAAUACAGUGUGGGAAUGGGUGUUGUAAGAAGAGAAGAGGGAGAAAUUUGGUUUGGUUUGCAUUUUAGUGCAAGCCAACCUAUUUCGUACUUACCAAAGCAAAACAUAGAUCUACAAAUGCAACUUUCUUUCAAAAUUCGCAUUCUCUGAAUUUUGCAAUGCAGUCCUGAAAUCAAAAUAUGAGUGCAAGAUGGGCAUUUUAGAGGAAAGCAAGAAUAAAAAUGCAUAAGCUGGUUGAAAUAAUAAUUUUUAUUAUCUUAAUAUUUAUUCAAUUUUUAUACUGCCCUCAUCUGAAGAUCACAGGGCGGUUCACAACAUAAAAAUACAAAAUGAGAACACAAAAUGCAUAAUAAAAGCAUGAACAAAAGGUACAAACCAGUAAUCCUCCUUCCACAAACACAUUUAAAAAGACAUGGAAUGUUAAUCAUCCAAAGGCCUGGUGAAAGAGGAAUGUUGGCCUGGUGAAAGAGGAACAAAAGGCUAAACUAAUAGUUAACAAUGUGGUGACAGAGGAAUUUAAGAUAGAGAAAGGGACACGACCAGGCUGCCCAAUUUCCCCAUUGCUUUUUAUUUCGGUCCUGGAGGUUUUGCUAAAUAUGAUCAGAAGGGACCGUCUGAUUAAAGGUAUACAGGUCAGAGCCAAACAGUACAAAUUGAAAGCUUUUGCAGAUGAUUUAGUAUUGACGUUACAGGAGCCAGACUCUAGUACUAAAAGAGUAUUAGAAUUGAUUCAGGAAUUUGGUCAUGUGGCAGGAUUUAAGUUGAACAAGUUAAAAACUAAGGUGCUUGAGAAAAAUUUAACACCGAUUGAGAAAGAGAGGUUUCAGAAGGAGACAGGUCUAACACUGGUCAAGAAAGUAAAAUACUUGGGGGUUAAUAUGACUGCUAAGAACUUAAACCUAUUUAAAGACAAUUAUGAGAAAUGUUGGUCAGAAGUGAAAAAGGAUUUAGAGAUAUGGUCAAACUUGAAGCUUUCCUUGUUAGGUCGAAUUGCUGUUAUAAAGAUGAAUGUAUUGCCAAGAAUGUUAUUUUUGUUUCAAUCAUUGCAAAUCUUGGACAAAAUGGACUGUUUCAAGAAGUGGCAGAGAGACAUUUCUAGAUUUGUCUGGCAGGGCAAGAAGCCCAGAAUAAAAUUUAAAAUAUUAACUGAUGCAAAGGACAGAGGUGGAUUUGCCCUGCCAGACCUCAAACUUUAUUAUGAAUCAGCAGCAUUCUGCUGGUUGAAAGAAUGGCUGCUUCUUGAGAACACAGACAUUUUGGAUUUAGAAGGUUUCAAUAAUGUUUUUGGGUGGCAUGCAUAUCUGUGGUAUGACAAGGUUAAAGCACAUAAAGCAUUUAAAAACCAUAUUGUCAGGAAAGCAUUGUUAAAUGUCUGGAUAAGAUAUAAGGACUUACUUGAAAACAAAACCCCAAGGUGGUUGUCACCGAUGGAAGCAAAGGCUCAGAAAAGGCUCAAUAUGGAGGCCAAAUGGCCGAAAUAUUGGGAAAUUUUGGAACAAGAAGGAGACAAAUUGAAAUUGCAGAGUUUUGAGAAAUUAAAAGACAAAGUGCGAGACUGGCUUCAUUACUAUCAGAUAAUGGAGGCAUACAAUUUGGAUAAGAAAAUUGGCUUCCAGGUGGAAAAAUCAAAACUAGAAACAGAACUGUUAGAACCCAAAACUAAGAUUUUGUCAAAGAUGUAUAACUUGCUGUUGAAAUGGAAUACUCAGGAUGAAACGGUGAAAUCUGCUAUGAUUAAAUGGGCACAAGAUGUUGGACAUAAUAUUAUGUUUGCUGACUGGGAACAGUUGUGGACCACAGGUAUGAAAUUUACGGCAUGUAAUGCCCUAAGAGAGAAUAUUAUGAAAAUGAUAUACAGGUGGUACAUGACACCAGUCAAGCUUGCAAAAAUCUAUCAUUUGCCCGAUAAUAAAUGUUGGAAAUGUAAAGAAACUGAAGGUACAUUCUUUCACCUUUGGUGGACGUGCCCAAGGAUUAAGGCUUUCUGGGAGAUGAUCUAUAAUGAAUUGAAAAAGGUAUUUAAAUAUACCUUCUUGAAGAAACCAGAGGCCUUUCUCCUGGGCAUAGUCGACCAAUUGGUGCCAAAGAAGGAUAGAACUUUUUUUGUAUGCCACAACAGCAGCAAGAAUACUCAUCGCAAAGUAUUGGAAGACACAAGAGCUACCCACCUUGGAAGAAUGGCAGAUGAAGGUGAUGGACUAUAUGGAACUGGCGGAAAUGAUUGGCAGAAUCCGAGACCAGGGAGAAGAGUUGAUGGAAGAGGACUGGGAAAAGUUUAAAGACUAUUUACAGAAAUAUUGUAAAAUUAAUGAAUGCUGGAAUGAUGUUGGAUAGAAAUUAAGUGGUCUUUAGUUGACAUGUCACAAGGGAUUAUGAAAAAAUGGAUUAUUAAUAGGUAAAAAUUUAAAAUUACAAUACUUUAUGAUUAAUGACUAGGAUAUACAAAGAGGGGAGGGAUUUGCUGAACUAACAAAUUGAACUGGAAUACAAAAAAGGGAGGCGUGAGGAGGUCCGGGAAAUAAGCAAAUGAAGGAUAAGUAAAGGAAAGAAUGAAUUUAUUUUUAAUCAUUUUUAUUUUGCAUUUUUCUUUUUUCUUUUUUUAUCUUGUAAUACUCUGAAAAUCCUAAUAAAUAUCUUAUAAAAAAAAAAUGAAAGAGGAAUGUUUUCACCUGGCACCUAAAGAAAUGUAAUGAAGACACCGGGGAAGCUGCUCUGGGGAGACCAUUCCACAAAUGGGGAGCCGCCAUGGAAAAAGCCCAUUCUUGUGUUGCCACUCUCUUGUGGAAGAUGCACACAAAGAAGGGCCUCAGAUUAUGAUUGCAGGGUCAGGAUCAGUUCAUAUGAAGGAAAACGGUCCUUGAAGAACUCAGAGGAACCCCACAUUGAAGGCUCCACAAGGCUGAAGAACAAGCAUCGCACUCUGGAAACCACCGUCUAAGUAGGACAGGAACCACCACAAAGCGGUACCACCCAUCCCAAACUCAAGACAGCUGGUCCAGAAGGAUGCCAUGAUCUCCACCUCUGCAAGGGCAGAAAGGUGCAAAAGCCCUGAAUGCAAGGAAUUUAAGGUAAAAAAACUGCAAAACUAAAAAGAGGGUCGGAAUGGCCACUGCCAAAUUUCCAGUUUUGAGUAAACUUCAACAGCAUAUAUGCAGCCUGAAUUUGGUAGAUGGGGCUAUAUCAAAUAUAUUAGGAUUUAAAUAUGCACUUUAAAAUAAAUUAAUCAAUGAGCAGUUUCCUACCACCGCUGUAGCAGUUCUCUCUCUUUUGUUUCGUUUUAGACAUCAUUCGCUGUGUGGAUAUUGUUCAACAGUUAACAUAAAUUCCUUGGAAAAUACUAUUCUGGAUGCUGUCUUUCAAUUUAAAUCACAUUUAUAUUCAGGUGACGCGGUUGCCCUUUCACAGCAUUGGAAAUCCUUGACAAAUAAGACAAUUGUGUCAAUUGUUCCAUCUCAAAUGAAAAACAAGCAAGCUUCAAGCUGCUAAGUUUAUUGUGACAACGAUGGUAGUACGUAAAUCGCUUAUCCCCACAGUAAAAACACAAUGGGAAGAUGUUCUGUCUACUGAGAAGGCUACCUUCUCUAUUGUGUAACAAGCUAAUUACUUCCCACACGUUCCUUCACCCUGUCAGUUACCAACCUGCCUUUGCUAUGCAGGAUGAGAUAUGUGCCCUAAGAAAGAAAUUUUGAAUACAACUAAGUCAUAAGUUGGAUAGUACCAAUGAAGUAUAUAGUAUUCUGUGUGAAGUUUCUCUCCCCCAAUGUUCUCUGCUGUUUUCGGGGGGGGGGGUCAUGGGGGAACAGAAACAUUCACAUGCAGAAAGUGUAAAGGACUUGUCCACUGGUGUGAAUGAAGUGCAACGUGUCAUUAAAGUGGUCAAAAAGCCGCAGUUCCACAACACAGGAACUGUAGUGUGAAAUGAAUGUUAGAAAAUAGGACAAAAGCACUAAUCAGGAAAAGUAUUCCCCAAGUCUGAAUGUACCCUAAGUGGAGGCUCAAAAGAAGCUGAAGAGCUCUACUGAGAGUGGAAAGGUUGAGUGAAAAUUCUGUAAAUUAAUAUAAUAUAUAGUCUUGUCAGGGUUUUUUCCCCAUAAAGAAAAAGUGAAAAACAAAGUCUGUUAGGUGAGCACAAACCUAGGUUGUCAAAGUAUCAGACCUAGGUAUGUAGCUCUUUGUGUCUAUAAAAAAUUAUCUUGAUUGCACAUCCAUAAAAAGGAACUGGCAAAAUAAAAUGUUAAAAAAUCCUCCAGUUUAGCUUGCAUAUGAAAGACACAAACCCAAGCUUCCUUCUAAGCUUACUCCAACUUCUCAGUCAUGCAACCUAGGCGCAGGUCUCCCUGGCAAGCCCUCAGCAUCCUCCUGCACAAGCCACAUGUAUGUGGCUUUACUGAUGUGCUGUGUGUAUUGGGAUCUGUGGACUGGGGCACUUAUGCAACACUGACAUUAGGACAACACGGCUUCUGAGACCCCCUUCCAAAGCCAGGCAGCCAGGAAAGAAGGGUCGUGGAAGAUAACUGGCACAUUCGCUGCCACAGCACAGCUUCAUUGAUGAGCACAGCAGUUUGGAGGGAGGGGGUUGCAUUGCCACACCUCUGCUGCUGGAAGCAAAAUGCUACAGGACCUUCUCCCCGCUCCUUGACCUUUGUGCCCCUCCCUCCAGGCAUCUUGGCUCACCCCACAAUUUGAGAGCCUCUGUGUUAAGCAAUUCUUAUUUACACGUCUUCCCUGGUUUGGGAAAUGUUUCUAGACAGCUACCUGCCGCUCAUUCGGACUCGUACCUUUGAGUUACAACUCAUCAGUUACUCUUCAGAGUGAGACAAACAGUUGAUAAAAGGUAAUAAAACAUUAAUGGAUGGAGGAAGAGCAGCUGCAAUAAUAGAAGACUAAGGUUAAAUCAAGGCUGUGGCCUAUGAAGCUCUUGACAUUUUAGAAAAGGUUAUCCCCCACCCCCCAUUGUGAUAAACAGACUAAUCACCCACAUGCUCCAAACAGCAGCACACAGUCUGAAUUCAACUGCAGAGCUGGGGAUUUGCUGUGCCAAGCUGCUUUUCAAGCAAUUUGAGGUUUUCUUCCAAUAGCCAUCGUUUUUGUGAUGUUGUGACCUGUAGCUGAUUGUACAGGUACCUUGUACGAUCAUUCCAAAAUGACAUUUGACUUGAAAUACAAGCAGGAGCGACGUUCCCUUAUUGCCCUCCCUAAAUGUUAAUCCUACCAAUGGUGUUCUGCCUGUGACAGUAUUCCACUUAUGGUGAAUGAAUCAUCUGACCUAGGCUGCACUAAGAGAAGCUGCACCCUUUUGCUUCAACCAUUGGGGUGGUGGUGGAGGAGUUAUUGCUUCCCUUGAUAUAAAAUGGUGAGGCAAUACAUUAUUCCAAAGCAACCCCCAUCAUGAUUAUGAACCUAAUCAUAAUAAUGAUGGCAUGAUGGUAUUCAGUGCUGUUUUUCUAGAAAAAUAGGUCCUGGAAGUCAUCAUUAGCACCUUCCUUCUUCUCUUAGAAUGGCAACGGUGCUCACCUGAGAGGUGCCAGAACUGAGUUCCAGUUGGAAAAAACAACCCUGAUGGUUAUCAUUGCACCUUGCCCCCUUUCCGUUUUUAAAAAGGAAAGAAACCAAGCGCAUUGUGUGGUGUAGUGGUUAAGAGCGGUAGCCUCGUAAUCUGGGGAACCGGGUUCGCGUCUCCGCUCCACCACAUGCAGCUGCUGGGUGACCUUGGGCCAGUCACACUUCUUUGAAGUCUCUCAGCCUCACUCACCUCACAGAGUGUUUGCUGUGGGGGAGGAAGGGAAAGGAGACUGUUAGCCGCUUUGAGACUCCUUCGGGUAGUGAUAAAGCGGGAUAUCAAAUCCAAACUCUUCUUCUUCUUUAGUAAAUUUAUACAGAAUUGGAAAGAACACUUUCUUCUAUAUGCAUUGAGUGGUUUGUUUCUUCAGGAUCUACAUGAACGGCCUAUGCUGUAAAUCGCUGAUGGCCUUUUGUAAUUGUUAUAAAUGCAUGGCUAAUCUUUGACAAAUUUGUUUUUCCGGGGAUCUCUUCCCCAACUGGCGCAGCUCCUGGCUGUUUGCUGUUUUUCCCAAAAUUACCUGCUAUCUGAACAGGUCCAGAGGUGACCCUAUUGGAUCCUUUCCUAGUCAAUAAUAUUUUUGAUCAUGUCAUUGGCUAGCCUCUCCGUUCCCCUUUCAAUCAUUUAGCCAAGAAUUAGACUGCUGGGCUAGACAGUGUCAGCCAAGAACAUGUUUAGGUAUUUACCCUGUGAUACCUGCAUUUGUGUAUUACCGUGUGCAAUUAUUUAAUUAAAGAAUAAUUAUGUCAGCAACAUAUUGAAACACUCCAGUGAAGGAGCAAUCCGCAACAUCUGGACUCAACUGUGAACAAGAAAGGGAGGAAAAGCAAUCUUUUUCUGUGUGGGGGAAAUAUAUACCUCAGGCUAUUUGGGAAUAUAGCUUAUCUACAUCCACAACAUGUACACAUUUGGCUCAGGAGGCAAUUUUGGAGGUUUCAUCUUUAGAUGCCAGCAUGGCAACUCUUCAGCCUUACCCUUUCUCUUUGCAUGCUAGUGUUGCAUCCCUCCCCCAGCAUUGAUGCCUAAAAUGUAAUCAUGAAACCAGUGCUGUGCUGACAUCAGUUUCCCAGUUUCCCAAAUGUUUUCUUCUCCUGUGAAAGGGGUUUUCUGCCUCUGCUUCAAGGCAAUUUAGCAAGUUUCUUCAGAAUUUUGGUAGGUGUGUUUUAAGUUUACACUAUCAUUAUAUUUCUCCAGCACCCUGGAGCUGCCCAUAUUUCCAGAUCCGGAGAAAGAAAAACCCCACGGGAGGCUUCUAAAGUAAAUGAAUAAAAUAGUCAGGGUGCCACCACAGAACAGACCCCGUCAAGCAACUUCUGUGAUGUUGAGAUUAUAUUCCCAGGUACAUGGAAUGCAUUCUCAACAGUUCAUCAAGCUACUUUCCAAGGACUCAGCUAUACAGCUGCAAAUAAAACGUUUUAAGUGUGUUUUAAGUGCAAUAUACAAUGUAACACUAGAUGGUGAUGGAAAAUUCAGUGUAUUUUUUAAAAAAACGCAUUUUCAGAACAGUUUUUAUAUGUCUGUAGAUUCCACCCACGUCUCUUUAAUGUGUGUUUUGUCUAUCUCCUUGCAGGGUAAAUGGCAUGUGCCCACACAUUAUAAAAAAUGUGUGUAGUACUGGGGAAUCAAAGUGCAAAGAGCAGCAAAAUCGCUGGGCACACGUGAGAAAUAAGCAGUGCCUGCUCAGUUCCUUGCACAAUAGGGUCUGUUAGCUGCUGCUUUUGUUGCUGAAAGAAGCACCAUGGGAGUGUGUUUAGAGCAGCUUCCACAGGGCAGCUGAUUUAUAUGUGCAUUGGCCCUCAGAGGCUCCUCUUUGAAAUGGCAGAGCGGAGUGAGUACACCGAGUGGUGCUUUUUCACUGGCAACAAGUGGGCAAUGUAUAAUUUGCGCCUGAGGCUGCGAUGUGAUUUAGCCCUCUAAAAUGAAAAAUUAGGCCCGGAGAGAGGAUUUGACAAGCCACAGCUAUAUUAGCUGAUCUUCUUCUGAAUGCAACGGACGCGUUGAAUAAAAUGUUCAGUCCGAGUGCCUUUUAUGAAAAGUGAACAGACAUUGUGCAUAGCUACCUUUGUAAAACUGAAGGCAAAUAGCUUUUAAAUCCACUUGUGAGGGUAAUGUUAAGAGGGACAAUCAGAUUGAUCUUGCAUGCUAAUUAAUGUGAGUUUGGCUCAUGUUAAGAAACAAAACAGCAUCGCAUCCAUUUGAUACACUAUUCAUGGAAAUUUCUGCAAAACUAAUGCCUGUGUAUGUUCAAGAAAACUGCAGAGGUUGUCCAUAUACCCUUAGAUCAGGUGUGGGGAACCUUUUUCAGCCCAAGAGCUGAAAUGGGUCCAGUGAAAAAAAUAAACAGGCCAAACAAAGCCAUGUGUGAGCUAAUAUAACUCUACAUGACAAUUAUGGAAGUGCCUGAAAGCUCUUACCAUUGCUUAUCCUUCCAUUAAUCUGUCAAACACAAUAUUCUGGCCCCAGCAAAUAUAGAUUUGUAGGCUUCGGAAGGAUUUAUUUAUUUAUUUAUAUAAAAUCCCCUGGGGUCAUUGGAUGUCAGCAGGAUUUAGCUGGUUGGGAUUAAGGAACAAACUCACAAUGGUUCUUUAAUAUGAGACCCAUGGAAAUAAAGAUGUUGGUGCAAAUCACCUCAACACAUGCCACCUGACUGAGGCUGUGAACCGCCCUGAGGCUUCCAGGUAUAGGGCAGUAUAUAAAAUCUAACAACAACAACAACAACAACAACAACGUCUAACUUCAUAUUAAGUCUUAUUGAAUUCAAUAGAGCUUAUUCCCAGGUAAAUUGGAUUAGGUGGGUUAGUUCCUUUACUGUGAACUGAUGCAACAUUCCACACUUAUUUUCUUACACUUUAUAUUCUGUCUUUCUUCCAUCAUAGAACCCAAGCCAUCCAUUUGGUUUCCAGGAUGUAUUUCUUCACACAGUAUGUAGACUAUGGAAUUCAAUUUGCACGAUAUGUAGUAAUGGCCACCAAUGUGGUCGACUUUAAAAGAGAAUUAGGCAGAUUCAUGGAGGAUAAUGAUGUCAGGGGUUAUUAUCCAUGAUGGCUGUGUUCUGCUUUCACAGAUAGGGACAGUUUGCUCUGUAUAACUGGUGCUGGGACUCACAUGGGAGGAGAGGGCUGGGCUCUUGGGUUUUGCCUGCAGGCUGCCUCUAGGCAUCAGGCUGUCCGAUAUGAGAACAAGACACUGAACCAAUUAUGUUCUUACAUAAGCAUUUACCAGGGGGAAAGGUUGGUGGUCUUCUUCAAAUGUCUGUCUCUGCCUAUAUUAAUUGCAUGAAAUUCCAGCACAUGUAAAACAGACAAUUCUGGUGAAACCCUCUCCUCUUCACUAGCAUUGAGGAAAUAUGAUUGUACAAAUAGUUUAUGCAAACAGGGAGCUGAGAAAAUUCAUGGAUAUGAUGGGGGGGAGGGUAAUAACUUGCCUCUACCUAUUACCAGUAAUGAGAUUUUUAUUUAAGUUUUUUCAUAAUACAAGAAACUAGCUGCUACAAACAAUACAAAUAGAAUAAGUAGAAUAUGGAGUCCUUACCACCCGCAGAAAACAUCCUAGAUCUCACCUGAGAUCUUUCCUUUUUCCUUCUAGCCUUUCACCCUGAGAGAUCGACAUUUCCUUGACUCUAACCUGGGGUCCUCCAUUAACCAUUUACCAC
rnacentral:lncRNA from 1 species